CCUUUGCACUUAAUAAAAGGAUGUCAUCUGUCUUUUCUGUGCUACUUUUCAGGCUGAGGCAAGGUGAAUAUACCUGGACAGUAGAAAAGGUCUUCUAACACAGGAGCCACUAGAAACAGUGGGGAGCAGGAUGCAGACACUGAGCUGAAUGACUCGAGCUCAGAUUUGCCUGAAUGAGCAUUUGAGGUUCCAAUUAAAUCCUUGUUUCGGCCAUUGCAUUGCCUGCCAGUAGUUAAUCUUUCUCGAAAGCCUCAUCACUUAUCUAAAACAAAAGAAGAACGAGGUAAGGAGAAAAAGUAAUGAAGUGCAGCAUAGCACAUCUGUCAAAGGAAUGGAAAACCGCUUUAAAAAAAUAAAGUAUCAAUUACAUUAAAAAAUUAUUUUUUG
rnacentral:lncRNA from 1 species